AUUCGAAUAAUGUAUCAUUUGAAAAUACCGUUGAGGGUCUGUGCAAGGAAUGGAAGAUCUCAUGAAAAAGUCCAGCCAAUGGGAGGUUAGCUUACAUUCCUAACAUCCGAAGCGCAGAGGCUUGACCAACGAGAGAAGUCAAGAAAAAACUGAAAUAGACCAAGAGGAAAACCGUCACAGAAAUCUCUGUUGUGAAGCCUUUGUCGCUGUGGUGUCCGCUGUAAAGAAGGAUCUGGAGAUUUCCACAACUGUAAAGGUUCCAAGGACACUUUCGUACCCGAGUGAGAUGCUGAGACGCUCGAGAGUAAUUUAGGAGAGGCAAGAGAAGAGAACGGGGAGGCAAGAGGAUCGCCGUUAACUCAAGUGAAACUAAAUAAGAAGGGCUGUUAUAGAAGUUUUUCUUGAAGCCUCAACUUUUAAAAUUUUUAGAAUUUUUUUUUUUUUUUUUUUUUUUUUUUUUUUUUUUUUUUUUUUUUUUUUUUUUUUGUUUUUUUUUUUUUUUUUUUUUACGGCGGGAGUCAGGGUCUGUGCUCUU